ensembl:snRNA U6 U6 spliceosomal RNA
GUAUUCGCUUUGCAGCACAUGUACUAAAAUCGGAAUAAUACAGAGAAGAUUAGCAUGGCCCUUGCGCAGGGAUGACACGCAAAUUCGUGAAGUGUUUUAUAUACAC